UAACCUGCCUGGUAGCGGGGGAUAACUAUUGGAAACGAUAGCUAAUACCGCAUAAGAGUAGAUGUUGCAUGACAUUUGCUUAAAAGGUGCAAUUGCAUCACUACCAGAUGGACCUGCGUUGUAUUAGCUAGUUGGUGGGGUAGCGGCUCACCAAGGCGACGAUACAUAGCCGACCUGAGAGGGUGAUCGGCCACACUGGGACUGAGACACGGCCCAG
rnacentral:rRNA from 1 species